rnacentral:misc_RNA from 1 species
UAGAGUUGCAAAACUCCCAAACCCUUGUGAACCUACCAGUUACUUGUUGCUUCGGCGGGCAGCCCCUGGGAGGGGCCGCGCCUCUCGCGAGGUGCCCGCCGGAGGACCACCAAAACUCUUGAUUUAACGGUCUCUCUGAGUAAUAACCAAAUAAGUUA